ACCUGGUAGUCUCACGCUGUAAACGAUGUCGACUUGGAGGUUGUGCCCUUGAGGCGUGGCUUCCGGAGCUAACGCGUUAAGUCGACCGCCUGGGGAGUACGGCCGCAAGGUUAAAACUCAAAUGAAUUGACGGGGGCCCGCACAAGCGGUGGAGCAUGUGGUUUAAUUCGAUGCAACGCGAAGAACCUUACCUACUCUUGACAUCCACGGAAUUCGCCAGAGAUGGCUUAGUGCCUUCGGGAACCGUGAGACAGGUGCUGCAUGGCUGUCGUCAGCUCGUGUUGUGAAAUGUUGGGUUAAGUCCCGCAACGAGCGCAACCCUUAUCCUUUGUUGCCAGCACGUAAUGGUGGGAACUCAAAGGAGACUGCCGGUGAUAAACCGGAGGAAGGUGGGGAUGACGUCAAGUCAUCAUGGCCCUUACGAGUAGGGCUACACACGUGCUACAAUGGCAUAUACAAAGAGAAGCGAACUCGCGAGAGCAAGCGGACCUCAUAAAGUAUGUCGUAGUCCGGAUUGGAGUCUGCAACUCGACUCCAUGAAGUCGGAAUCGCUAGUAAUCGUAGAUCAGAAUGCUACGGUGAAUACGUUCCCGGGCCUUGUACACACCGCCCGUCACACCAUGGGAGUGGGUUGCAAAAGAAGUAGGUAGCUUAACCUUCGGAGGGC
rnacentral:rRNA from 1 species